ACAAUCAAAACAAACAUUAAAUAUUACUAACCAAAACGAUGAAUUAAUGGACAAAAAAUUGUAUAAGAAAACCGAGAAAAGAAUUGUACUGUCGAUAUAACAAUACAGGUAUAGUUUUGCAUAAGUAUUGAGAUAAGAUGACUGACCAAGGCCAAUUACUAGAAUUGUAAAUAGAUUAAAGAAUUGACGUGUAUAAGUGAUAGGAGAAUUAUGUUAAGAUUCUUGAAAAUAUUGAUGAUGAAACAGCAAAUAUUAUUUGGAACAUAGCGAUGCCGCUUCAAUUAUAAUAUAAAAUAUUUUACCUUCUGUGCUGUAGUAUCCGCCAUUAUACACUCCAUGAAAAAAAAAAGUUUAUAAAAUAUAACCACACUAUCCCUUUGUUGUAACGUACAACUUCAAACAGGAAGUUGCGAGUUAUUUUUUCUUCGUCAAAAUCGAGACACCAUAGAGCUGAUUGAGAGAAUUAUAAUCAUAGCAUGUGCAAAGGUGCACGAUGAUACACAAUAUGUCAAUCUUUAUUCUUUUACUUUUUACAUGUUUUAUUUCGUAUUCUGUAGAAGUUGUUUUUACUAUAAUCUAUACAAUUUGAAUUCGCUUCUUUGAUAGAAAUGAAAAUUUAAGAAAACAUGAUGUGAUAAAUUAUAAUUGAUGUGAAUAGAAUACUAAUAAUACAAAAUGAUAUUUUGAUUCCAAUUAACUGUCAGAAAUUAAGUCAAUACUCAUAUAAAUAAUCUAUGAAAAUGUCAAAUAAGUAGGUGCCAGAAGUAGGAGAGAGAUAAAAGGAUAAUACUUCAUUAAAUUGAAUGUCAUGGAUAUAUUUAAAAAAAACUGUAAUUUUUUAAAAAUAAACAGCAUACAGUUUUGCGAAUAUUGAACAUAUUUUUAAUCAGAUUAGAACAAUAUUUUGAAUCAG